UUUUGAAGGUAUAAAAGCGCAGCGCGUCAGUCGUAGGUGUGCGUCAUUGAGGGGGCCGUUACGUCAUCAACGCGCCGCCGCUUGUUUGCUCGAGUGGACUGUUUACAUCCGUGUUGGUAGAGACUGCCGAAGCUGCUAACCACUGUACAAAAGUCUAUUUUGCUGCGUGAGGAACCAAAUGUGGACAAUUGAGACGGAUCUGGGCGCUGGGUGCAGACGAGUGGCUCUAUUGUGGUGGUGGUGUGUCCUUCACCGUGUGUUGUGCUUCUCACUGACACCAGUCUGUGUGUGUGUGCUAUGUUCACCCGAUUGUAGUGAUUAAUUUGGCAUAUGAGACUGCCCCAAUUGGUAAGCCCCAGCUCCUUGCCCACAGCAGAAGUGUUUUAUGAUGAGUGGCCAUAUUUUUAAUAUUUGUACAACUCAAUAAAAAUAUUUUUGUACCAUUUACUUCUG